CAAAAUAGUAUAAGAAACUGUAUGGAGAUUAUUGAAACCUCAUAUUCUUUUUACAAAACUCCAAAAUGUAAUAGUCAUCUUCAAGAAUGGAUUUGUAAAUUAAGCCCAGAUACUAAAAAAUACAGAUUGAAAGAACCAACAAGAUGGAUCAAAAGUCACGAAUUGGUUAUGGUUUUUAUAGAAUUAAGCCUCUUAUCUCGUCUUUGGAAAAAAUUAUUGAAGACUGGAGAGAUAAACACACAACAGUUAAUGCAAGUUUACUUUUAAGUUCAAUAAAAAAACCUGAAUGAAUUUUUAAUAGCAUUAUUUUCUAUGCAAGCUUUAUAUUCAUUCACACUACCAUUAAGCAGAAUGUUACAAUCUCUUAACAUUGAUUUGGUGGUGGCAGUUGAUAUGGCUAAACUAAUUAUUGACAAAUUAAAGAAAAUACGGAAUAAUGUCGACCUA
rnacentral:lncRNA from 1 species